rfam:Candidatus Wildermuthbacteria bacterium RIFCSPLOWO2_01_FTLL_48_16 rifcsplowo2_01_scaffold_304, whole genome shotgun sequence.
GUCCUCGUAGUCCAACGGACAGGACACAGCCCUCCGAAGGCUGGGGUACAGGUUCAAUUCCUGUCGAGGACA